rnacentral:sRNA from 1 species
AUCCUUGUAUGUAAAUGAUAGAAAGUACAAGGGACAAUAACAAAAGUCUCCCCGGGUGGGGAGACUUUUUAGUCAGUU